rnacentral:rRNA from 1 species
AACCCCUGUGACAUACCUAUACGUUGCCUCGGCGGAUCAGCCCGCGCCCCGUAAAAAGGGACGGCCCGCCCGAGGACCCCUAAACUCUGUUUUUAGUGGAACUUCUGAGUAAAACAAACAAAUAAAUCAAAACUUUCAACAACGGAUCUCUUGGUUCUGGCAUCGAUGAAGAACGCAGCAAAAUGCGAUAAGUAAUGUGAAUUGCAGAAUUCAGUGAAUCAUCGAAUCUUUGAACGCACAUUGCGCCCGCCAGUAUUCUGGCGGGCAUGCCUGUUCGAGCGUCAUUUCAACCCUCAAGCUCAGCUUGGUGUUGGGACUCGCGGUAACCCGCGUUCCCCAAAUCGAUUGGCGGUCACGUCGAGCUUCCAUAGCGUAGUAAUCAUACACCUCGUUACUGGUAAUCGUCGCGGCCACGCCGUAAAACCCCAACUUCUGAAUGUUGACCUCGGAUCAGGUAGGAAUACCCGCUGAACUUAAGCA